GACGAACGCUGGCGGCGUGCCUAAUACAUGCAAGUCGAACGCUUCUUUCCUCCCGAGUGCUUGCACUCCAUUGGAAAGAGGAGUGGCGGACGGGUGAGUAACACGUGGGUAACCUACCCAUCAGAGGGGGAUAACACUUGGAAACAGGUGCUAAUACCGCAUAACAGUUUAUGCCGCAUUGCAUAAGAGUGAAAGGCGCUUUCGGGUGUCGCUGAUGGAUGGACCCGCGGUGCAUUAGCUAGUUGGUGAGGUAACGGCUCACCAAGGCCACGAUGCAUAGCCGACCUGAGAGGGUGAUCGGCCACACUGGGACUGAGACACGGCCCAGACUCCUACGGGAGGCAGCAGUAGGGAAUCUUCGGCAAUGGACGAAAGUCUGACCGAGCAACGCCGCGUGAGUGAAGAAGGUUUUCGGAUCGUAAAACUCUGUUGUUAGAGAAGAACAAGGACGUUAGUAACUGAACGUCCCCUGACGGUAUCUAACCAGAAAGCCACGGCUAACUACGUG
rnacentral:rRNA from 1 species